UACAGAGGUCUCAAGCGUUGUUCGGAUUCAUUGGGCGUAGAGGGUGCGUAGGUGGCGGGGCAAGUCUGGUGUGAAAUCCCGGGGCUCAACCCCGGAACUGCACUGGAUACUGCUUUGCUAGAGCACUGGAGAGGGAACUGGAAUUUACGGUGUAGCAGUGAAAUGCGUAGAUAUCGUAAGGAAGACCAGUGGCGAAGGCGAGUUCCUGGACAGUUGCUGACACUGAGGCACGAAAGCUAGGGGAGCGAAUGGG
rnacentral:rRNA from 1 species